rnacentral:rRNA from 1 species
UUUGGUGACGAUAGCGGAAGGGAACCACGCGUACCCAUCCCGAACACGGCCGUUAAGCCUUCCAGCGCCGAUGGUACUUGGACCGAAGCGGUCCUGGGAAAGUAGGAUGUUGCCAAGC